rnacentral:rRNA from 1 species
UACGAAGGGGGCUAGCGUUGCUCGGAAUUACUGGGCGUAAAGGGAGCGUAGGCGGACUGUUUAGUCAGAGGUGAAAGCCCAGGGCUCAACCUUGGAAUUGCCUUUGAUACUGGCAGUCUUGAGUACGGAAGAGGUAUGUGGAACUCCGAGUGUAGAGGUGAAAUUCGUAGAUAUUCGGAAGAACACCAGUGGCGAAGGCGACAUACUGGCUCAUUACUGACGCUGAGGCGCGAAAGCGUGGGGAGCAAACAGG